AGCAGAACAUGCAUUUUUGACCUUGUCUUACUAAUAAUUUUAUUUUGCAGGAGGAAGAGGAAGAAACAAAAGUAACUUCUCUCCUAGAUUUAAUUCUGACCUACCAGGAAGAACUGGUUGUUGAAGCCGAAGUACUGGAGUCUCUGGAGCCAAUCUGGAUUUUGUCUGGAAACUCAAGUGUAAGACCUAGCGCCACCUGCCAAGGACCUCUGCUUUGCCUCGGUAGGCCAAGAAUUACACACAAUGGAAAAGCAGCGCCGUGGAGCUGGAUGAAUCCUGAGCCCAACCUGUGCCUCCGGUCUUGGGGCGUGCGGGGGAAACAGCAGCCUCC
rnacentral:lncRNA from 1 species